AGUAUCCCCUAAACAGUAUUAUAGUUUCCCAUGUCCAAAUCAUCUUAAAGUAACUUUAUUGCGUUCCAUAAUCGAGUGUAGAGACAUUGGGAUGAUUUUGACAUGGAACAUAAAACACCAAACAUAAAAAACCCAACAUAAAACACCGAACAUAAAACACCGAACAUGAAACACCAUGCAUGAAACACGAAACAUGAAACCCGAAACAUGAAACACUGAUCCAAAGUUCAUGCAACAUCUGACCAGACAGACGUCACACCAUAAAUCCACUGGCCUCAGCAUCAAAACUGUAGUAUAAUGUUAUCAUGACUGGCCAAUCUAUUAUUAUUUUUAGUGUGGUUGAUUAUGUUGUUAUCACUAUUCAUAUUCUUGUGGUUUUGUUUUUGCGAUAACUGACUAUUUGUAUAAUAUACAAGCAGAAAAUAAAAAAGAUAGAUACAUUUACCAUAAAUAAAUUCCCAUGCAUGUGAAGUAUUUGCAUAAUGGGAACGAUUCUACUUUGUUUACAUUGUUUUGGGCAAAAUAAGGGGGCGGUCAAAGUCUUGUGGCCCAACACACACCUCCAUUCUCAGAAGCACUGUGUGCUCUGCUCUCAGUACGACUCCCUUUCUAAUAUUUACAUUAUUUACAUUUUAGUCAUUCAGCAGACGCUCUUAUCCAGAGCAACUUACAGGAGCAAUUAGAGAUAAGUGCCUUGCGCAAGGCCACAUAAAACCUAUUUUUCACCUAGUCAGUUCGGGGAUUCAAACAAUCAACCUUUCGGUUAUUGGCCCAAAGUUCUUAACCGCUAGGCUACCUACCUAAUAUCAAGGCCUUAUUUGCCCAGUAAUUAUUUAUCAAUGGUGGGAAAGCCACCAAUGCAAACAGAAACUGUUCCCAUAAACAGACAUGGUUUGCAGAGUACACGGGCCAGGGGAUGGCAACCUCAUGGGUAUAAGACUGGCACUCUUCUGCUGCCCUGGCACUGUUGUUUAAUCCAGCUAGUGCACCACAGGGCAGACAUAGAAAAAUAUAGCAAGGCUUCAAGUAGACUACAGGAGAUAUACUCUAGUGACAAGGAGUCAGACAUGUUGGUCCUGUGUGUCAUCUCUGUCCUCAGCCUUCUCUCAGUGGGACUGGCAGCUCCUCUGUCCUGUGAGGAUCUACUGAGACCAGCACGAACCAUAUUUUGGGUAAGUGGAUUUUUAUCGCGGAGAGCACUGAGGUCCCUGGUGGCAGGGAGUAUGCUGCAAAAGAAUGGAUCACAGGCUGGCUUCAGAUCUCUCCUGGGCUCCAGAACAACACUGUCAAAGAAUUACAGAUGAUAAACAUGUAAGAAAAGGAUUAACUUUCAAUGCGCUUCAUGUUUAUUGUAUGUUGACUGUAUGCAUACCGUACCAGAAAUGUGAAUGUGAAAAACGUGUUGAAAAUGAAAUAAUAACAAACAUCGUUGUAACAAAAAUUGUAAUUGUAACACGUAAAAAUUACCCCGUCUUUGCUUUUACAAACACUUGAAACCCCAGCUAGCACAAAACAUUUUAUGUUUCUUAGAGAAUGGUGAGAGUGUGGUUGUCCUAUGGUUCUUUUUCUGCAACCUUCCCACAACGUUCUGGGAAUGUUGUAGGAUAGUUGUUUUGUUUUGGAACAUUCUCAGCACAUUUAGGAACUUCACACAAAAAAAACGUUUCUUACUAUUUCAUUACCUUAACAGAAAAUGUCCUAUAAGGUCACACAUAGUUAUUUUACUGUUAAUGUAAUAAUUCAUAAUAUUAUGGGAGUUCAGAGGACUUCUUUAAACACUCACAAUUAUUAUUUUUUUGCAUUUUUGAUCAUCAUGAUAUUGUGGCCGAUAACACAUUGAUUAAUGAAUAGCUCGAAUAUUCAAUAUCUUGAAAACGUGACUGCUGACAUGCAAAACAUUGUGGGACUGUAUCAACAGUGGACUAACGGAAAAAAUACCAAGAGUUUACCUUUUUAAAAAAGGUCCAACGCAGCUGUUUUUAUCUCAAUAUAAAAUCAUUUCUGGUUAACAAUGAAGUACCUCACUGUAAUUGUUUUCAAUUCAAAUAUACAAAAAUCUUCUCCACAAGCAAUUUCUAAAGCAAGUAUUUUGCUAUAACUGGGGAGUGGAACUCAUUUUUAUUGGUCUAUAUAAUUUAGCUCCUGGUGAUGUCACCAGCCAGGCCAAAACUCCAUCCCGCCAAAACAGGCUGAAAUUACAGGCGGUCAUUUCAAACAGCUCUUACACUAAAAGGGAAUUAUCAUAAUUUUCACAAUUUCGCAGUAUUAUUCCAACUUCAGUGAGGAAAUAUACUGUAUAUAAAGCAUAGGAAAAUCAAGUUUCUUUACUGUACUGUGCCUUUAAGUAAAUCAGAUGAUAUAUUAGGUGAAAGGGAGACAUUUUAGUAAAUGUUCUCCUAACAUUUACUGAAAUGUUGUUCACAACAUCUGUAAAAACUACCACAGGUUUCCAGGGAUGUAAUGUUCCUGUAAUGUUUUUACAAUAUACUGCCACAAAAAAUAAUAUUAUCAAUACGUCCCUGUGCCCAAGAAUGCCACGGUAACCUGUCAAAUUGACUAUGGCUGUAGUACUCCCAUCUGUAGCAAUGAAACAGCUUUGAAAGGCUGGCUCACAUGGCUCACAUCAACACCAUCAUCCAAGGCACCCUGGACCCAAUUCAAUUCGCAUACAGUCCCAACAGAUCCACAGAUGACUCAAUCUCAAUUGCUCUUCACACUGCCCUCUCUCACCUGGACAAUGCUGUUCAUUGACUACAGCUCAGCGUUCAAUACCAUAGUGCAGUCUAAGCGCGUCACUAAGCUAAAGACCCUGGAACUGAACACCUCCCUCUGCAACUGGAUCCUGGACUUCCUGAUGGGCCGUCCCCAAGUGGUGAGGGUAGGCAAAAACACAUCUUCCACGCUGACCCUCAACAUGGGGGCCCCUCAGGGGUGCGUGCUUACUCUCCUCCUGCACUUCCUGUUGACCCACAACUGCGUGGCCACGCACGACUCCAACAACAUCAUUAAGUUUUCUGAUAGCACAACCGUGGUGGACAACGACAACAUAUCCCUCAAUGUCAGCAAGAAAAAGGUACUAAUCGUGUACAACAGGAAACGGAGGUCCGAGCAUGAACCCAUUCACAUCAACGGGGCUAUAGUGGAGCGAGUCGAGAGUUUCCUCGGUGUCCACAUCACUGAGGAAUUAACAUGGUCCACACACACCAACACAGUCAUGAAGAAGACAUGACACCGCUUCUUCCCCCUCAGGAGGCUGAAAAGACUUGGCAUGGACACUCAAAUCCUCAAAAAGUUCUACACCAUUGAGAGCAUCUUGACUGGCAGCAGAGGGUGGCGCUACAGAGAGUUGUGCGGACAGCCCAGUACAUCACUGGGGCCAAGCUCCCUGCCAUCCAGGACCUCUAUAGCAGGCGGUGUGAAAGGAAGGCUAGGAAAAUUGUUAAAGACUCCAGCAACCCAAGCCAUACACUGUUAUCUCUGCUUCAGCAUGGCAAGCGGUACUGGAGCAUCAAGUCUGACACCAACAGGCUCCUGAACAGCUUCUAUUCCCAAGCAAGGUUUGAAAUUAUUGUUUUAAUCAAAUAUUAUACACGUAUAUGUCUGGGCUUCUUACGGUUAAUAUGCACUCUACAAAUUAAUUGUCAUUAUGUUCUGUUUCCCUGACCAUCUGUUCAAGGCAAAAUAUGUGCCAUAACCAGGCUUCCAAAGCUCUUUAUGAUUACAGAUGUGUCACGCCCUGGCCAUAGAGAGGCUUUUAUUCUCUAUUUUGGUUAGGCCAGGGUGUGACUAGAGUGGGCAUUCUAGUUUCUUUGUUUCUAUGUUUUGGCCGGCUACGGUUCUCAAUCAGGGAGGGUCCCCAGUCCAGAGGCGCCACCAAAGUGGGGGGAGCCAGAGGUGGAGCGGGGUCUGCGCCCCGCACCGGAGCCGCCACCGAAGUAUAUGCCCACCCGGACCCUCCCCAACUAUAGAGUCAGGUUUUGCGGCUGGAGUCCACAACUUUGGGAGGGGGUGUCACGCCCUGGCCAUAGAGAGGCUUUUAUUCUCUAUUUUGGUUAGGCCAGGGUGUGACUAGGGUGGGCAUUCUAGUUUCUUUAUUUCUAUGUUUUGGCCGGGUAAGGAUCUCAAUCAGGGACAGCUGUUUAUCGUUGUCUUUGAUUGGGAAUCAUACUUAGGCAUACUUUUUUCCCACCUGUGUUUGGUGGGUAGUUGUCUUUGUUAGUGGCCUGUAUAGCCCUAGUAAGCUUCACGUUCGUUGUAGUUGUUUCUUGUUUUGUUGGCAACAUUUAUAAUGAAAGAGAAUGAACGCAUACCUGGCUGCACCUAGGUCCAGUCAUUUCCGUGACGACGGUCGUGACAAGAUGUGAGUGCUACAGGUCAGAUGUGAGUGCUAAUGUCCCCACAUUGUUCUCACAGCAUAAUGAAAUGUUUUGUAAACUUUAAAAUAACAUAACGAAUGUUCUGUUAACAUUCUUGCAACAUCAGAGGAAUGUUUUUUCCACAUAAAUACCUAAAUUCUAUAAUCAUCAACACAACAGAUUGCGUUAUUACAACAUUUAGGGGGAAUGUUCUUACACCUUUCCCACAACUUAAUAAAAUGGUCUGGGAACAUUCACAGAAUCAGUUUUGGUUUGCUGGGUAUACUCUGGGAACUAGAGGUCGACCGAUUAUGAUUUUUCAACGCCGAUACCGAUAACAAUUAUUGGAGGACCCCAAAAAAAGCCGAUACCGAUUAAUCGGCCAAUUUUUUAUGACCGCUCCGUCUGCCCCUUUUUACGCCGACGUUGUUUUGGUUUCCCGGCUGGGAUUCGAUCCAUUGUCUUGGGUGGUGGGCAAAACAGAGGAUUGGCUUCAGGAAAGUCGUAUUCCUGGUCGUAAUGUUGGUGGUUUGACGUUGCUCUUAUAUCCGAUAGUUCCUCCCGACUGUAUGUAAUAAAACCUAAGAUUACCUGGGGUACCAAUGUAAGAAAUAACACGUAAUUUAAAAAAAAAUACUCCAUAGUUUCCUAGGAAUGUGAAGCGAGGCGGCCAUCUCUGUUGGCGCUGGAAGUAUACAAUAUUAACUAAAUAUGCAUGGUUUAAAAUAAAUACUUGUGUAUUGAUUUUAAGAAAUGUGUUGAUGUUCAUGGUUAGGUACACAUUGGACAGUGCUUUUUUUCGCGAAUUUUGCUUGUUAAAUCACCCGUUUGGCGAAGUAGGCUAUGAUUCAAUGAUAAAUUAACAGGCACCGCAUCGAUUAUAUGCAACGCAGGACAAGCUAGGUAAACUAGUAAUAUCAUCAACCAUGUGUAGUUAACUAGUGAUUAUGUUAAGAUUGAUUGUUUUUUAUAAGAUACGUUUAAUGCUAGCUAGCACCUUACCUUGGCUCCUUACUGCACUCACACAACAGGUAGUCAGCCUGCCACGCAGUCUCCUUGUGGAGUACAAUGUAAUAGGCCAUGAUCAGUGUCCAAAAAUGCAGAUUACCGAUUGUUAUGAAAACUUGAAAUCGGCCCUAAUUAAUCGGCCAUUCCGAUUAAUCGGUUGACCUCUACUGGGAAGGUUGUCAAAUUGUUUGACAUUAGGAAUGUUCUCGGAACAAAGACAAUUUAGAGAAAUGUGUUUUGAGUGUAAUGUGAUGAAUGUGUUUUUUAUCAUUUAAUUUGCGGUUGAAUACUGUAGUAUAUUUAUCUCAGUUCAUUACUCAACAGUGGAGGCAAAUGCAUUAGCAUGACCAGUGAAAUUACCAUGGAAAACAACACAUUUACCUCAACGGGACCUUUGCUCUAUUCCCUGACCUACCUGAAUACCUGCCCUGACUGCCUCCUUGUCCAACAGAAGUUGUCAUUGGUUAGCAAAUACAGCACUCUGUAUAUCUUCAGUAAGAGAAAGGAACUGACCUCUGCUGAACUGGAAGUGUUUAAGAAACAGGUGGACUGUCUCAAUUUGCCACCAGCUGUGUUCACAAACCCACAGAAAGAUUCCUGUCCAGAUCCGACACAGGACAACAGCAAAACACUGGACCUUGCGAAAGUGAUCGAAUUGCUGAGUGACACGAUUGAUCUUCAGAAGACUUUAGAAGAGAUGAUAAGUAAAUUACAACUAGCGAGUAAUAAAGCCGAUUAAUUGUCAAAAUGUCAAGUGAAGCCUAUUAUGUAUUUUUUCAUAUAAUACAUUUAAAAAAUAUAUUUCAAAAAUAUAUUUAGAAA